rnacentral:sRNA from 1 species
GCUGGGCAUUGUGGCGGGUGCCUGUGGUCCCAGCUACUUGGGAGGCUGAGGCAGGAGACUUGCUUGAGCCCAGGAGUUGGAGGUUGCUAUGAGCUGUGAAGCCAUGGCACUCUACCCAGGGGGAUAGCUUGAGGCUCUGUCUCAAAAAAGAAAAAAAAAGUUUUUUUUCUUUUUUGAGACAGAGCCCACUAUAUUGCCCUCAGUAGAGUGCCAUGGCUUCACAGCUUACAGCAACCUCCAACUCUUGAGCUUAAGCGAUUCUCAUGCCU